AUCACUAAAUUCUAAGAAGAAUCCCUUAUAUCAUAAAUCCUGAUUCCAAAUUCAAUGGCUUUUUACACCCCUUGCCCCAAUUCUUCAUACUUAAUUACAAAAAAUGCCAUCCAAAAAACUAUUCUGAGCAUGACUGUUGACUAAGAAAUUGAGCUGACUCACUACAUUUUCCAUUUCCGGAUUUCAAUUGAGCUGUGUUUUGGAGCCAUCUGCUAUCAUGUGAUGCUGUCUGAUCUCUUCCUACCUCACGUUGCUUUCCACCACAGUGGUUUAGACAGUUUCGGCAAAGAGACAAGAAGCUCAUGGCUCAAAAAUCACCAGGAACUGAAUCUUUUCCUCUUCAAUCCAUUUCUUGCAGGUAGGUUUGAAUAGUUGUUCAAUUUGAAUUCAAAACCCCAUUUUACAUACAACAGCAAUCUCUUCACUCCGAAACAAACAUUUUACGGGCGAUGAAGAGGUUUUCACGACGACCUAAAGUUGUUAUCUUUCUUAUUUAUGCAUUUGUUUACCACUCGGUUUUUAAUCCUGAUUAUGUUCUGAUAUAUCUUUUGUUUUUAUGUUUCUUGGAUGGAUUUUGGGGGUUUUUCAAUAAUCUCAAACUGGAUAGUUUCCCUACGCUGAGGGGGGAUUGUUCUGGUUCCAAAUCAAAAAGAAGAAGGCCAAAUGUGGAACAAGAUAAAGAAAAUAUCAAACCAUCUGGAGAGGGGAGUCCCACCCCUGGCUGAACACCCUUGAUCAUGUGUAUCAAACUCCCACAAGGCCUUUGUCUGCUCUAUCAAACCAGAGUAUAUGGCAUGUUUUCUGGCACACAAGAUAAAUGUGCUACUUGCAUUAAAACAGCUUAUCCACUAGAGAAGUCACUUUUGUGUUGAAGGAGUGAAUUGUGAUUUACAAUGUGAUUACUAACCGGAAAGGGUUAGACUGGGGAAGAGGGAGAUAUUGUUGUCAGUUGUCGAACAGCUUUUGGUUUAAAACCAAUUCAAGAGUCCAAAGAGCAUAUCAUUUUUCACUGUUAUGUAUUCACAAUGCUAGAUGUGGCUUUCUUCCAUAGAGAUUAAAGUUCUAAAGCUUCCAUAGAAUGUGGCUUUCUUCGCGAGUUCGUGACCUACCUCCAGAGCGGUUCUGUACAAGAUGAAAUGUACAAGAUCCUGACGGCUGCUGCACUCAGUAUAAUGUUGGAUCGGUCACUGAUUAUUGAGAAACCAGGCUGGAAGAAAUUUCCACUUGGGGAUCAUGUCUCUUAUUCAAACAUAUCGUUUACCUUGAACGAAGUGAAGCAUCUUUGGAGACAAAAUGGUUGUGCUACUAAAUUUUAAAGACAUUUGUUAAUGAGGAUUGAUGAUUUUCAGAAGCCAGCAUGUAUGGUUUGCUAGGACCUUAAGGUAUUGUUUCUUAAAGGAUCAUAUGUUUGUGAAGCAAGGUAAGCCAACGCCUUUACCACAUCAGCUACAAGGGGCCGCAGUGAAGGUUCCUCCUGUACACACAUUGCAGCAACUGAAAGAGCUUGAUAUAACCCUUUUACUAGAUAUUGGCCUUGGAGCACAUGGUCUACUAUCUGGUGAAAUUUCUUCCGAUCCCUGAAUAAAGGUCGUGCCUACAAGAUUUUCAAGAGUUAGUGUUUUUCAUACACUGAAAAACCAAGGUUCCCCUGUUAUGUACUUAUCAACUUUGUCGAAUAAAAUCUUUGUACUGUGCGGAAUAAUAUAAAUUAUUAACGUGCAUGUUACACAGCA